rnacentral:siRNA from 1 species
GUUAUGGAGUCAUAAAGUUUUAAC